rnacentral:rRNA from 1 species
AUUGAACGCUGGCGGCAGGCUUAACACAUGCAAGUCGAGCGAGUGGCGGACGGGUGAGUAAUGUAUGGGGAUCUGGCUGAUAGAGGGGGAUAACUACUGGAAACUGUAGCUAAUACCGCAUACCAUAGGAUGAGCCCACAUGUGAUUAGGUAGUUGGUGAGGUAAAGGCUCACCAAGCCGACGAUCUCUAGCUGGGCUGAGAGGAUGACCAGCCACACGGGGACUGAGACACGGCCCAGACUCCUACGGUAGGCAGCAGUGGGGAAUAGUGCGCAAUGGACGCAAGUCUGAUCGAGCAACGCCGCGUGUGUGAAGAAGGUUUUCGGAUCGUAAAGUGCUGUCGUCAGCGAAGCGGUAUCUAAACAGAAAGCACCGGCUAACUACGUGCCAGCCGCCGCGGUAAUUC